CUCUGGUUAGCUGAGUCUGGUUUAGCGCUGCGUUCGGGACGCAGGGACGCAGGUUCGAAUCCUGCACUGGAGACCA
rnacentral:tRNA from 1 species